rnacentral:tRNA from 1 species
UGCGCUGCUGGACGAGGCCCAUGUCGGCCGGGCUGCCAACCGGGUUGGGCUUUCGCAGCCGGCCGCUUCGGCUGCCUUGCAGC